UAGAAGGUAGUAUAGUGGGAGUACGUAAAAUUUUGGAUUUUAUGGCACAGGUUCAAGUCCUGUUUUCUAGG
rnacentral:tRNA from 1 species